AGAAUCAACGCUGGCGGCGUGCCUAACACAUGCAAGUCGAACGAGAAAGUGGAGCAAUCCAUGAGUAAAGUGGCGCACGGGUGAGUAACACGUGACUAACCUACCCUUGAGUGGGGAAUAACUUCGGGAAACCGAGGCUAAUACCGCAUAACACCUACGGGUCAAAGGAGCAAUUCGCUUUAGGAGGGGUCGCGGCAGAUUAGCUAGUUGGCGGGGUAAUGGCCCACCAAGACGGUGAUCUGUA
rnacentral:rRNA from 1 species